rnacentral:lncRNA from 1 species
CUAAUAUGUCAGUUCAAUCUCGACAGAUCUGGUUCGUUUUUUCGGGGAUGGGAUCACAAUGGAUCGGAAUGGGUGAAUCACUAAUGAAAAUACCAAUCUUUGCCGAAGCAAUAAAAAAAUGUGAUGUAGUUUUAAGACCUCGAGGUUACGAUAUUGAGCAUAUUAUAUGCGAUAAAAAUCCAACAAUAUACGAUAAUAUUAUAAAUUGCUUUCUGGGAAUAGCAGCAAUACAAAUGGUUGCUUUACUGCUGAGGAAAUGAUUUUAAGCGCUCUUUCUCGUGGUUUGGCUUCAGUAGAAAGUGAUUUGAUACACGGAACGAUGGCCGCAGUUGGUCUCGGUUACAAACAGUUGCGGCAUUUCUGUCCUGAAGACAUUGAUAUUGCUUGUCAUAAUGGACCCGACAGUUCUACCAUAAGUGGACCUACCGAGUCCAUAAAAGCUUUUGUAAAAGAA